rnacentral:rRNA from 1 species
UACCAGCACCCCGAGUGGUCGGGACGUUUAUUGGGCCUAAAGCAUCCGUAGCCGGUUCUACAAGUCUUCCGUUAAAUCCACCUGCUUAACAGAUGGGCUGCGGAAGAUACUAUGGAGCUAGGAGGCGGGAGAGGCAAGCGGUACUCGAUGGGUAGGGGUAAAAUCCGUUGAUCCAUUGAAGACCACCAGUGGCGAAGGCGGCUUGCCAGGAACGCGCU